UUUUAGUAGUUGGCUGAGAUGGA
rnacentral:piRNA from 1 species